rnacentral:rRNA from 1 species
UACGUAGGUGGCAAGCGUUGUCCGGAUUUAUUGGGUUUAAAGGGUGCGUAGGCGGCUUUGUAAGUCAGUGGUGAAAUAUGGCAGCUCAACUGUCAAGGUGCCAUUGAUACUGCAGAGCUUGAGUACAGAUGAGGUAGGCGGAAUUGACGGUGUAGCGGUGAAAUGCUUAGAUACCAUAAAGAACACCUAUUGCGAAGGCAGCUUACUAGGCUGUAACUGACGCUGAGGCACGAAAGCGUGGGGAUCAAACAGG